ACGAACGCUGGCGGCAUGCCUAACACAUGCAAGUCGAACGGAGAUUAUUUCGGUAAUCUUAGUGGCGAACGGGUGAGUAACGCGUAGGCAACCUGCCCUUUAGUUGGGGACAACAUUCCGAAAGGGGUGCUAAUACCGAAUGUGACAGUUUUCUCGCAUGAGAUUACUGUGAAAGAUGGCCUCUAUUUAUAAGCUAUCGCUAAAGGAUGGGCCUGCGUCUGAUUAGCUAGUUGGUGGGGUAACGGCCUACCAAGGCGAUGAUCAGUAGCCGGUCUGAGAGGAUGAACGGCCACAUUGGGACUGAGACACGGCCCAGACUCCUACGGGAGGCAGCAGUGGGGAAUCUUCCGCAAUGGGCGAAAGCCUGACGGAGCAAUGCCGCGUGAGUGAUGAAGGAAUUCGUUCCGUAAAGCUCUUUUGUUUAUGACGAAUGUGCAGACUGUGAAUAAUGGUUUGUAAUGACGGUAGUAAACGAAUAAGCCACGGCUAACUACGUG
rnacentral:rRNA from 1 species